AAGUUGUUUUGAGAAAUUCCUUUUCUCGCUGUGAUAAUGAUUGAACCUCUCCUGUUACUCCUAAGUGGUCAGAAAGUUGUUUUGAGAAUGUCUCUGAGUCGAGUAUGCGGAUGUGUAGACUAAUCUGAGUGAAAAAGUGUGUGCAAACUAUCCGACCGAGAAAUAGCUACCUCACUGAGAAAAGAAGCAGUGGGUGUGAAAGCUCCUCAACUGAGAAAUAGCUGCCUCACUGAGCUGUAUGGUUGAUCAUGUUUUUCCUCUGUUACUUCAGGCUGGCUCUUGUGUACAUCAUGCUGCUUCAGGAACUUUU
rnacentral:sRNA from 1 species